CAUCAACCUCGUCCCCAGGGCCUAUUGAGGAAGGAGGCGAAGCAGCAAAGGCCCUGGUAAAGGCUGGUCACGUGAUGCUUCAAAUUUUGAAUAUUUCAGAAAUUUAACUUUUCAAACCGGGGGUGCGGGCCGCUUUGAUUUUAUCAAACAUGGCCGUGCAAAGGGGCGAUAGAAUUACUGUAACCUUUUGCGACUGAAACCAGAGACUGAAACUAUGAUGAUAAACUUUUCAACUGACAGUGGAAAUACUGUAAAUAUAUAGUCUGCGAUGUUCUUCAAGAAAAUAUGGAAUAUAAUCAAUAGCAAUACUUGUGGAAGAUCAAGAUUCAAAGAGAAGAGUCUAAACACUGACUGACAACAGUAAAUAUUUCUUUUCAGCUUGGAAGCGUGUUUUAUAAUAUUUGUCGUUUGGGAGUCAAUAACAUACUGUCACUACUGUCAGUGAAGAAUUUGAUUUGGGACUUUGAUGUACCUUUAUGAAAAGAUUACUGCUGAAUACAAAUGUG